rnacentral:rRNA from 1 species
GACGAACGCUGGCGGCGUGCUUAACACAUGCAAGUCGAACGGUGAAGGGACUGGUUUUGCUGGUCCUGGAUGAGUGGCGAACGGGUGAGUAACACGUGAGUAACCUGCCCCCUUCUUCUGGAUAACCGCAUGAAAGUGUGGCUAAUACGGGAUAUUCUGGGUCUGUCGCAUGGUGGGCCUGGGAAAGAUUGCGCCUUUUUUGGUGUUUUUGGUGGGGGAUGGGCUCGCGGCCUAUCAGCUUGUUGGUGGGGUGAUGGCCUACCAAGGCGGUGACGGGUAGCCGGCCUGAGAGGGUGGACGGUCACACUGGGACUGAGACACGGCCCAGACUCCUACGGGAGGCAGCAGUGGGGAAUAUUACACAAUGGGCGCAAGCCUGAUGCAGCGACGCCGCGUGAGGGAUGGAGGCCUUCGGGUUGUGAACCUCUUUCGCCAGUGAAGCAGGCCUGCCUCUUUUUGUGGGUGGGUUGACGGUAGCUGGAUAAGAAGCGCCGGCUAACUACGUG